rnacentral:pre_miRNA from 9 species
UCACGAUAGCGUAUAAGCUAACUCAAAUUUGAAUGAAGUCGGAACGUUUGCCUACGUUUGCCGCUAGGGGCGCUUUUCCAACUCCAUACAUAUUUGAGUUAACUUUUACGCUAUCGA